CUCCCUACUUUUUCCAUUCAGGCCAGAAACAAAAAGAAGAGCCUAAGGUAACAUUUUUCCCUCAUACUGUUAGAAGAUGGGAUAGCUUGGGCUAUCAACCACAGACAUGUCUGUCUGGAUUAUAGGAAGAGCCCCAGUGGAAGGGUCGAACCAGUUGCUACCCUACAGAGUCCAUGAGCUAGGGACCCUCUUAAUAGCCUCCUCCACUAUCAUGCACACACUUCCUACUACCCAAGCUAGUAGGCCAGAUCUUGCUCAGUAGGAAUUCCUGUCCAAGCAAGGGUUGGGCUAAAGGACCUCUGAAGGCCUUUUGGGCUACUGUGAAACCAGUUACUUAUUGGCCUCUCCCCUGCUGUAUUGGGUACCCCCUGUGCCAAAUCACGAAACUGCGGUGAUCCAGGAUGUUGAGAGAAAGCCUCAGACACUCAGGAGUUCCCUUUGCUUCCUCCCCACUCAGGAAGUGAAGCUCAGUGUUCCCAUGCCCUACACACUCAAGGUGCACUACAAGUACACGGUAGUCAUGGAGACUCAGCCCGGGCUCCCCUACAGCCAGGUCCGGGACAUGGUGUCUAAGAAACUGGAGCUCCGGCUGGAACACACUAAGCUGAGCUAUCGGCCUCGGGACAGCAAUGAGCUGGUGCCCCUUUCAGAAGACAGCAUGAAGGAUGCCUGGGGCCAGGUGAAAAACUACUGCCUGACUCUGUGGUGUGAGAACACAGUGGGUGACCAAGGCUUUCCAGAUGAACCCA
rnacentral:sRNA from 1 species